GAUGAACGCUGGCGGCGUGCCUAAUACAUGCCAGUCGAGCGAACGGACGAGAAGCUUGCUUUUCUGAUGUUAGCGGCGGACGGGUGAGUAACACGUGGAUAACCUACCUAUAAGACUGGGAUAACUUCGGGAAACCGGAGCUAAUACCGGAUAAUAUUUUGAACCGCAUGGUUCAAAAGUGAAAGACGGUCUUGCUGUCACUUAUAGAUGGAUCCGCGCUGCAUUAGCUAGUUGGUAAGGUAACGGCUUACCAAGGCAACGAUGCAUAGCCGACCUGAGAGGGUGAUCGGCCACACUGGAACUGAGACACGGUCCAGACUCCUACGGGAGGCAGCAGUAGGGAAUCUUCCGCAAUGGGCGAAAGCCUGACGGAGCAACGCCGCGUGAGUGAUGAAGGUCUUCGGAUCGUAAAACUCUGUUAUUAGGGAAGAACAUAUGUGUAAGUAACUGUGCACAUCUUGGCGGUACCUAAUCAGAAAGCCACGGCUAACUACGUG
rnacentral:rRNA from 1 species